rfam:Salmo salar isolate Sally breed double haploid chromosome ssa04, whole genome shotgun sequence.
UCCCAUGUGGCUCAGUUGUUAGAGCAUGGUGUUUGCAACGCCAGGGUUGUGGGUUCGAUUCCCACGGGGGAC